GGGUUUGAUCGUUGAUCGCGGCUAUGGUUUUUUCUAAUUUUAUUUAUCAAAGGUACAUUUACCUCCCACAUUGGCAGGCAAUAUAAUUAUUCUCCAUCUGUAAUUGUAAUUGGUGGAGGUAUUUCUGGCUUAGCGGUUGCACGUGUCCUCCAGAAUGCAUCUUCCAAGGUGAUAUUGCUGGAAUCAAGAGAUAGAAUUGGUGGACGUAUUCAAACUGACUACUCGUUUGGUUGCCCUGUUGACAUGGAAGCAUCGU